rnacentral:lncRNA from 1 species
ACUUCUGGUCCUCUUAAUUAUGAACACUCUAAAAUAGAUAUACCUGAUUCACGAUAUAUGAAUAAUUCCUCUUUGAAAAUAUCAUAGGAACCUAUCAUAUUAAAGCAAAAGCGCUUUCACUAAGAAAAGUAUGAACUUCGACUUUGGAGUCCCUUUACAAUGAUAUAAAAUAGUUUGUGUUACUGAAAUCAUGAGAGAUAUUGAAACAAAUACACGGAAUGUUGCACAGAAAUUGCGGACCUAGCCGCGGGUAUGUGCUAGUAAUGUAAUACAUAUCAAUUCAGUCUGAGUUAAUAACUAUCUGAGCAUAAGUUAAAUUAAUUAAAGUUAUUUGUUUGUAUGCAAUUAUGAUAUUUCCACUUACACAAGUUUAUAAAUAAGAAGAUUGGUGAAAAUCGUAUUCUGUGUGUGGUACACAUAAUUAUAGACAGUUUAUAAGUUAAAUAUUUAACAUUAAAAUAAAUAAAAAAGUUUAAAUCGUAGUUAUAAUAUAACUUAUAUAAUAUUAUUUUCUGGUUAGAAAAUUACUACAUUCAUCACAGUCACUAUAUUUAGGUAUGUAGUUCGUUAUACAAAUGUGGAAAUAAAAGAGCCUAUGCGUAGUAAAUAACGUAACUUCACUCUAUAAACUUGCCGCGAGAACGUCUUAGUUUGUUACGUACCGCAACCAAUUACAAGUUAAAAAUAUGAUUUAAUUAUUUUCAAAAUAAACGACCGUACCCACAGAUUUUAAAACUCCGCAGAGUGUGAAAGAUGCCGAGAUAGUCAUAAUGAGAGAUAAAAGAUAGCCGUGGCAUGAAUGAGAUUGUAGAAGUUGCGAAGGACUCCGCCAGCGCUAGAUCGCGCUGGAAUCGUUCUGGAGCUACUGGCGCGUGAAGCUCGGCUCGACAAUCACGACGGCAGUGGCAGUGGCUGCAGCAACAACGAGCCGCAUGAUUCAGUCGGCGUCCUCAUGCCGCGACGAUAAGAUCAGCUGAUAGUUCCAGUCAACGUCAGAUGUUUAUUGCUCGGCACCUGUUGUUCGUAGUCAGUGAUAAACUAACGUAACCCGCGCGCGGCUGAAUUAACUAACUCUAGUUUACGUACGUUAGAGCAGGAUUUUUAAUUAGUGUUUACCGUUAGUGAAUAAGCAAUGAGGUUAUUUGCAUUGUGGUGUUUAAUUUGUGAGACGCGGGUGCGAGUUGGUUCUUUGUGUUGUGUGUAGUUGUAUUUGUCUCUACUUACUUACGCUACGUUGGCAAAACGACAUAAGGCGAGACAGAGAUAAUUUGAUUUGAUAACUGGCGGAUCAGCAAGUCAAAAGUAUGACGAGCCGGAAGGCUUUGGCGCUGUCAUUGCUCUUGUGAUAGAUACGGUAAUGGACAACAGCGGCGGAACCGGGAGUGGGAGGACGAUAUCUCAAGGGCUGUGACUGUAACUGACUGUCCAGUUGUCUCUUAUCAGUGCGACGUGAGUGCCAUUGUGAGUGAGUGACAUUCCACAGCAGAUAGUAUGGCAUAACACGAAUUUAGUCAUCAGGCUAUGGCGUACCGUGGACUCAGCAGGCACGUGGACCUGGAAGCUUGCCCUGAGCCCGGUACCCGGUUCACCCUCCAGGAGCUGAUAGGCGAGGGGACAUACGGCGAGGUCUACAGCGCCCGGGACACUACUACUGGUGAGUACCCUGAAACAUGCUCUAGUCUAUAUGUAGUUGUGUAAUAAAGGUUAUAAAAAGGAAUACUGAUAAAUAAUGACACCUU